UUAAAUUGAAGAGUUUGAUCAUGGCUCAGAUUGAACGCUGGCGGCAGGCCUAACACAUGCAAGUCGAACGGUAGCACGAAGCAGCUUGCUGCUUUGCUGACGAGUGGCGGACGGGUGAGUAAUGUCUGGGAAACUGCCUGAUGGAGGGGGAUAACUACUGGAAACGGUAGCUAAUACCGCAUAACGUCGCAAGACCAAAGUGGGGGACCUUCGGGCCUCACACCAUCGGAUGUGCCCAGAUGGGAUUAGCUAGUAGGUGGGGUAACGGCUCACCUAGGCGACGAUCCCUAGCUGGUCUGAGAGGAUGACCAGCCACACUGGAACUGAGACACGGUCCAGACUCCUACGGGAGGCAGCAGUGGGGAAUAUUGCACAAUGGGCGCAAGCCUGAUGCAGCCAUGCCGCGUGUAUGAAGAAGGCCUUCGGGUUGUAAAGUACUUUCAGCGAGGAGGAAGGCGUUGUGGUUAAUAACCACAGCGAUUGACGUUACUCGCAGAAGAAGCACCGGCUAACUCCGUGCCAGCAGCCGCGGUAAUACGGAGGGUGCAAGCGUUAAUCGGAAUUACUGGGCGUAAAGCGCACGCAGGCGGUUUGUUAAGUCAGAUGUGAAAUCCCCGGGCUCAACCUGGGAACUGCAUUUGAAACUGGCAAGCUUGAGUCUCGUAGAGGGGGGUAGAAUUC
rnacentral:rRNA from 1 species